GUGGACAUCCAGAGUGUUGAACUGAAGCUGCCUACAGAACUGGCUCUGCAGCUGGUUGAGCUGUUUGGCCCUGUCCUACCAGGAGAAGCAGAGACAAGCAGCACUCUCCUACCAUCUACUACAAGAGAGCUCUGUCCACUGGGGCGAAUCACAGACGGCCAAAACCGGGC